UACGAAGGGGGCGAGCGUUGUUCGGAAUCACUGGGCGUAAAGGGCGCGUAGGCGGCCCCUUCUUGUCGCGUGUGAAAGCCCCGGGCUCAACCUGGGAACGGCGCGCGAGACGGGGGGGCUGGAGUUCGGGAGAGGAGCGUGGGAAUUCCCAGUGUAGAGGUGAAAUUCGUAGAUAUUGGGAAGAACACGGUGGCGAAGGCGGCGCUCUGGACCGGGACUGACGCUGAGGCGCGAAAGCGUGGGGAGCAAA
rnacentral:rRNA from 1 species